CUAAGUGUUCUUCUGAAGUGUUAUGCUGUUUGCCAAGAACUGAAGGUGAAGAGGAAAAAUAGCAAGAGCCUCCUUGAGCAAGAACAGAAGAGAAAAUUAACUAAAAGGGAAAUCAAAACUAAGAAUUACAUAGGGAAAAAAAACAAUUAUGAAGUCAUUAGUGUUGCUUUACUAUAAGCAACAUUAAAAAAAAUUGCAUUCGAUACUCCAGGCAUCAAGAGCCUAUUGCAAGCACCAGGCAGCAGAGGAACAUCUGCCACUAUUUAUCUUACUCAAAGUUGAAGAGUAAAUGUAGAUGCAGACCCAAAAACUUAAAAUGGAGAAAGGUUACAAGCUCAUCAAAAGUUUAGGCCUUGCUCCUAUUAUGUCUUUCUUACCUUUUGGAGAAGGAAAAUGGAUGCAACAAUACUCACCAGAACACAAACUUUGAAGCUCUAUUCAAAGCUACAGUAAAGUAACCCAGAAAGCCAUGUUUCUGAAAGAACGGGUCAGCUCUGAUUGUGCACUGGGAAUUCUAUUGGCACCACCGUUUAGCAAGGACCUGAGAAUGUAUCAGUGAAGGACCAAAAAAAUGAAGGGCUAAAGAUUACAAACUGAACUUCUUAAAAUAAGGCAGCUCUAUGCUUUCUGUGAAUCAACUAAGAAGCACGUGAACAGUUUUAUGGAUGACCUGUUUAAGGGGCCAAGAUGGUAGACCACAUGUAAUGUUUAGAAAUCCCCAUUUGGAUAAAACGUUGGAAAUCAUCUGGUCGCUGGGCUUCAAGCUGUGUUCCAGGGCAAUACCUGAAGCAACCCAAGAGAGGUAACAGGAAGGGGGGCCAAAGAGGUUCUGACUGAGCUCCUUUCCCUUGCCAGUAGGAGAUGCUU
rnacentral:lncRNA from 1 species